GAUGAAGAACGCAGCGAAAUGCGAUAAGUAAUGUGAAUUGCAGAAUUCAGUGAAUCAUCGAAUCUUUGAACGCACAUUGCGCUCAAGGCUUCGGCCAAGAGCAUGUCUGCCUCAGCGUCGUUUCACCCCCUCGCCUCCCCACCUCUGGAGUCCUUCACUGGGCUGUGGUGGCCUUGGCACAAGCCUGAAUCAAGCGCUGUGUCAACAUGGAGGCGGACCUGACCGUCCCAGGCUUACUCCCUGGCCUGGGUCGGUUGAAGCACAGAGGCUUGAGCUGGGACCCGCCAUGGGCAGCGGCUGGAUAGGUAGGUACAGCUUCGGCUGUCUACACGAAGCCGUUUGCUUGGAGCCCAGCUGGGAGCCCAAGAGCAGGAAGCCCAAACUUCCGACCUGAGCUCAGGCAAGAUUACCCGCUGAACUUAAGCAUAUCAAUAAGCGGAGGA
rnacentral:misc_RNA from 1 species